AGAGUUUGAUCCUGGCUCAGGAUGAACGCUGGCGGCGUGCUUAACACAUGCAAGUCGAACGGUGAACACGGAGCUUGCUCUGUGGGAUCAGUGGCGAACGGGUGAGUAACACGUGAGCAACCUGCCCCUGACUCUGGGAUAAGCGCUGGAAACGGCGUCUAAUACUGGAUAUGUGACGUGACCGCAUGGUCUGCGUCUGGAAAGAAUUUCGGUUGGGGAUGGGCUCGCGGCCUAUCAGCUUGUUGGUGAGGUAAUGGCUCACCAAGGCGUCGACGGGUAGCCGGCCUGAGAGGGUGACCGGCCACACUGGGACUGAGACACGGCCCAGACUCCUACGGGAGGCAGCAGUGGGGAAUAUUGCACAAUGGGCGCAAGCCUGAUGCAGCAACGCCGCGUGAGGGACGACGGCCUUCGGGUUGUAAACCUCUUUUAGCAGGGAAGAAGCGAAAGUGA
rnacentral:rRNA from 1 species